AAGUGGUUAAGCAACCAAGCAAAAGCAAGUUCAAAAUGAACUUAAGCAACUAAUGUACCUGUGGAAACAUCAAACAAAUCAGUAUACAACUCAGACAAUCAAACAACAUUAAUAUCAACAGUCAAACCCAAUAAGCAAAGGCAUAAGCCACAAUCCCAAACUCAAAUGAGUUAACAACCCUACAAAACACACAAUGUUAGUAGACAAAGGUAAACAUCAAAUGCCCAAAUGAUGGAGCAUCAUG
rnacentral:lncRNA from 1 species